GCAUCGAUCGUGGCUGAUGCUGAUCUGAAAAUAAGAAGGAAUUGACAAAAUUUCAACUAAAAGGCAAGAUGGCCGAGCGGUCUAAGGCGCCACGUUAAGGUUAACCCUUAAUC